rnacentral:rRNA from 1 species
AACGAACGCUGGCGGCAUGCCUAACACAUGCAAGUCGAACGAGACCUUCGGGUCUAGUGGCGCACGGGUGCGUAACGCGUGGGAACCUGCCCUUAGGUUCGGAACAACUCCCCGAAAGGGGUGUUAAUACCGGAUAAUGUCUUCGGACCAAAGAUUUAUCGCCUUUGGAUGGGCCCGCGUUGGAUUAGCUAGUUGGUAGGGUAAAAGCCUACCAAGGCGACGAUCCAUAGCUGGUCUGAGAGGAUGAUCAGCCACACUGGGACUGAGACACGGCCCAGACUCCUACGGGAGGCAGCAGUGGGGAAUAUUGGACAAUGGGCGAAAGCCUGAUCCAGCAAUGCCGCGUGAGUGAUGAAGGCCUUAGGGUUGUAAAGCUCUUUUACCCGGGAUGAUAAUGACAGUACCGGGAGAAUAAGCUCCGGCUAACUCCGUG